rnacentral:rRNA from 1 species
AUGAGUCAUAUUAGCAAGCAGAAGAAUGACACGUCUGCCCCAAUACGUGAUGAUGAUUAUACUGGUCAACGGGGUGAGGAGAUUAGCAAGCAGAAGAAUGAUGCGUCUGCCCCCGUACGUGACGAUGAUUAUACUGGUCAACUGGGUGAGGAGGUUUUUGUUGAUGCGUCAGAUGAUGAUGAAGAUAAGAAGCAAGAGCCCCCUGCUGAAUCUCCUCCGCAUGAUUUUAGUGAUGACUAUGUCAUUGAUGAUGACUGUUUCAAUGGUGAUUCUAAUGGGGGUUGCAAUGGUGUUGAUGACAAUGUUGAUUAUACGGAGGGAGUUUUUGCACCAGACCAGCCAGUAACCCAAGGUGAUUGCGACAAAUCUAAUGAGCCAGAACUUGGGCAGCAAUCCCAUGCUGGUAGUGUUGACAUUUCUGAAGGGAAGCAAGUUGGGUUUGAUUGUCAAGGUGGCUCGUCAGUUACGAUUGAAGGUUUGCUUGAUGCUAGACAGGCGCCUGAAGGUGCUUGUGCGGGUGUGGUUGUAAUGGAUGGCCUUAGUGAUGGUGUGAAUCAUGCAGCAAGUUGUGAAGGAAAACAAGUGAUGAAGGAUACACCUAUGCCUGAAAGCAUUGGAGCUGGAGGUGAUGUAUUUUCUAUUCCGGUGUGCGAAGUCCCUGUUGUUGACGGAGCACGUGCAUCGAACAAGGACGCGAAGCCAGCUGUUGUUUCUGAAUUCCCGAAGGAUGCUGUAGUUGUGGACUCCCACCAGGGUGGUGAUGCUCAUGCUAGUGUAGCAGGCCCCAAGGACGCAGGUGGUUUAAAUGUGUCUCAUGUGAUAGAUAAAUCAAAUGUUGAUAGUGGUGCAUCUGCUCCUGCAACACUUUCUGGGAUUCCUAUACAAGUACCUGAGGGGUUUGCUACGAAGUUGAAAGAUAUAAUUUCAAAAGCUGCGUUCCGUGGUAAUUACAGUACUGAGCCCCAGCCUAAAGUUGAACCCAACAUUGAUGAAGUUGGUGCCGAUGGUGCUUCCGAGGAGACAGAUAGUGACGAAUUGGGAUUGUCAGUAAAUGAGAUAGAUUCAUCUCAAACAGUCUCCAGUUUUACGCAAACCCCGGCUACACCGGAAGCGGUGCAACGCAUGGACUUAUACUUUGCUGUUAUGAGGUUGAGGACAAACAAGAAUAAAAAGGAUGAGGUACUAUUUGAGAAUGCGUUUUGCAAAGCAACUGUUAAGUAG